AUGGAAACGGCCGAACACUCAGACAUUGCAGCUCCGGCAGAUCGCGAGGUGGAACUCGCCACGGACACCGUGGAUGGAGGAGAGAUGCAGGUGAGCCCGGGCGACGAGCAGGAACAGAUCCGUGCGGAGACGGAUCCGACGGACGCCGCCGGAGAAGACCUGCUGGACCUCUUCCCUGACCCGCCCCCCGACGCAAUGGAGCCUGAAGACCUAGAGGACGAGGAGAGCAGUCUUUGUGGCGACACAACGAGUCUGGACCACAAGGACUCCCCCUGUCCCGGUACAGGACACGACGAGCUCAACAGGAACGAGUCCAUCGCCUCGUCUGUAUCCGACACGCUGUCCAGCGCCGACAGCGUCUAUGAGAACGAGGCUCACCGUAAGAGACCAGACCCCCAGGAGCCGGAACCAGAGCCCAGCCCUGGAGAGGACCUGCCCCCUGGACCUCAAGACCAGGAGGACCUUCUCCCUGGAACCCAAGACCUGGAGGACCUGCUCCCUGGACCCGAAGACCAGGAGGACCUGCCCCCUGCCCCCCUAGACCUGGAGGACUUGCCUCCUGCACCCCUUGACCAGGAGGACCUGCCCCCUGGACCACAAGACCAAGAGGACCAAGACCAAGAGGACCUGCCACCUGGACCCCUAGACCAAGAGGACCACGACCAGGAGGACCUGCUCCCUGGACCCCCAGACAAGGAGGACCAAGACCAAGAGGACCUGCCACCUGGACCCCUAGACAUGGAGGACAAAGACCGGGAGGACCUGCUCCCUGAACCCCUUGACCAGGAGGACCUGCUCCCUGAACCCCUAGACCAGGAGGACCUGCUCCCUGAACCCCUAGACCAGGAGGACCAAGACCAGUUCGCCCCUGAAACCCGAGAGGACCCUGUGAGUCCCGACUUCCCGUUAGAUGCUCCGACCGGGGAGGCAGAGGAUUCGAACCUGGGUCAUUACAUCAACGAAGAUGCCCUGUCCGAUGCCUCUAAUGAGUCCUACCACGACCUGGAGGCCGACGAGUGCCUGAGGGUGGAGAUCGCCGUGGCCUCGUCCGACAGCGACACGGACGAAAAGUGGAGGGCGAUCUUCUCCUCUUCCAUCAACAGAGAGGACGAUGACUCGUACCUGGACGGCCUCCAGCUGAGCGCCCAGGAGCUCUUUGUGCAGAAGGUAGAGGUGAGCGACACUGAGGAAGAGGAGGACCACGCUCCGACAGAGGAAACCCCCUUUGAGGAAGAGCCGGGACGAGGUGCUGGAGCAGCCCAUCGACGUGGUGUCCUUCUCUUCUCCCUCCCAGGAGGUCCUGUACAACCCCUUAUCCCAGCCGGGACUGUCCAAAAUCUCAGAGGACGACGGCGAAAACGGAAAGGUCCCUUUCAACCGCGGCCACCUCCUGCCCUCCCCACCUCUGAGCGCCGACCACACCAAGAAGCUGCCCAAGGACUUCUGUGUGAUCCAGGAGACCAAGAGCGAGAACGUCAGCAACGAGCACGUGGACUUCCAGGUGGCUCGCAACAAUGGCUGGAGAUGGAGGAGCAGAGCAAGAAGCAGAUCGUGUCGCCCACCGCCAAGACGCCUACCCUCCAGGGCAGCCACAGCUUCAUGUACACGCCGUCCGCAACGUGGAGAGGCCUCAGAGGAGGGAGCACUCCCUGGAGAACCUGA
ensembl:lncRNA